rnacentral:rRNA from 1 species
AUUGAACGCUGGCGGCAUGCCUUACACAUGCAAGUCGAACGGCAGCACGGGUGCUUGCACCUGGUGGCGAGUGGCGAACGGGUGAGUAAUACAUCGGAACGUACCUUAUCGUGGGGGAUAACGCAGCGAAAGCUGUGCUAAUACCGCAUACGCCCUGAGGGGGAAAGCGGGGGAUCGAAAGACCUCGCGCGAUUAGAGCGGCCGAUGCCUGAUUAGCUUGUUGGUGGGGUAAAAGCCCACCAAGGCGACGAUCAGUAGCUGGUCUGAGAGGACGAUAAGCCACACUGGGACGGAGACACGGCCCAGACUCCUACGGGAGGCAGCAGUGGGGAAUCUUGGACAAUGGGGGCAACCCUGAUCCAGCAAUGCAGCGUGAGUGAAGAAGGCCUUCGGGUUGUAAAGCUCUUUUGUCAGGGAAGAAACACCGGCUCUAACACAGUCCGGGAAUGACGGUACCUGAAGAAUAAGCACCGGCUAACUACGUGCCAGCCGCCGCCGUAA